UACCAGCACCCCCGAGUGGUCGGGACGUUUAUUGGGCCUAAAGCAUCCGUAGCCGGUUCUACAAGUCUUCCGUUAAAUCCACCUGCUUAACAGAUGGGCUGCGGAAGAUACUAUGGAGCUAGGAGGCGGGAGAGGCAAGCGGUACUCGAUGGGUAGGGGUAAAAAUCCGUUGAUCCAUUGAAGACCACCAGUGGCGAAGGCGGCUUGCCAGAACGCGCUCGACGGUGAGGGAUGAAAGCUGGGGGAGCAAACCGG
rnacentral:rRNA from 1 species